rnacentral:rRNA from 1 species
ACGUAGGAGGCAAACGUUAUCCGGAUUUACUGGGCGUAAAGCGCGUGUAGGUGGUUUGGUAAGUAGAGCGUGAAAGCUCCUGGCUCAACUGGGAGAGGUCGUUCUAAACUGCCGGACUAGAGGAUGGUAGAGGGAGGUGGAAUUCCGGGUUUAGCGGUGGAAUGCGCAGAUAUCCGGAGGAACGCCAGUGGCGAAGGCGGCCUACUGGACCACUCCUGUGUCUCAGACGCGAAAGCGAGGGUAGCAAACGG